GAGAUGAAAACGAGUAUGAUCAAAUUACUAACCCAAUCACUUUGACCGAGUCAGAUAAGGUAUGCUAUUUAACAGGCAGUCUUUUAGGAGAGGACAUCAGUUGCUCCUGUUUACCACGGACACAAGAAAGAACUCCAAAAACCUUCAAACAAGAUCGAAUUAAAUCGAAGCCAUCAUGUCUGCUCAACGAUUCCUUUUCCUGGUUGCCGUUGCUUCAUUGUUUGUAGCUUCACUAGCAGUUCCAGCGGAACUGUCUCCAGCGGAACUGUCUAAGCGUGACGGCGCACCUUGCAAAUGUGGUAGUACAGGCGGUAUCUACUGGUUUGGUCGCAACUCCUGUCCAGGUGGAUACGGAUAUACAAGGUCUUGCUGGUAUUUUGCUGGCAGAUGUUGCACUCCUGCUUAAACCAUUACACUGCAAUCAGUCGUUAGAAAAGUCAAAAUGUAAUGUUAAAUGUAGUUUGAUUCAAAUCAAAAUCAAUUGAUUGAAUAAAGUCAAUACCUUAAAUCCAA